rnacentral:rRNA from 1 species
UAGGGAAUAUUAGAAAUGGACGAAAGUCUGAUCUAGCGACACCGCGUGUGCGAUGAAGGCCUUCGGGUUGUAAAGCACUUUUUGGAAGGAAUAGGAAGGAAGGUACUUCCAGAAUAAGUCUCGGCUAACUACGUGCCAGCAGCCGCGGUAACACGUAGGAGGCAAACGUUAUCCGGAUUUACUGGGCGUAAAGCGCGUGUAGGUGGUUCUGUAAGUAGGGCGUGAAAGCUCCCGGCUCAACUGGGAGAGGCCGUUCUAAACUGCAGAGCUAGAGGAUGGUAGAGGGAGGUGGAAUUCCAGGUGUAGCGGUGGAAUGCGCAGAUAUCUGGAGGAACACCAGUGGCGAAAGCGGCCUCCUGGACCAUUCCUGACACUCAGACGCGAAAGCUAGGGUAGCAAACGG